UUAGCGGCGGACGGGUGAGUAACACGUGGAUAACCUACCUAUAAGACUGGGAUAACUUCGGGAAACCGGAGCUAAUACCGGAUAAUAUUUUGAACCGCAUGGUUCAAAAGUGAAAGACGGUCUUGCUGUCACUUAUAGAUGGAUCCGCGCUGCAUUAGCUAGUUGGUAAGGUAACGGCUUACCAAGGCAACGAUGCAUAGCCGACCUGAGAGGGUGAUCGGCCACACUGGAACUGAGACACGGUCCAGACUCCUACGGGAGGCAGCAGUAGGGAAUCUUCCGCAAUGGGCGAAAGCCUGACGGAGCAACGCCGCGUGAGUGAUGAAGGUCUUCGGAUCGUAAAACUCUGUUAUUAGGGAAGAACAUAUGUGUAAGUAACUGUGCACAUCUUGACGGUACCUAAUCAGAAAGCCACGGCUAACUACGUGCCAGCAGCCGCGGUAAUACGUAGGUGGCAAGCGUUAUCCGGAAUUAUUGGGCGUAAAGCGCGCGUAGGCGGUUUUUUAAGUCUGAUGUGAAAGCCCACGGCUCAACCGUGGAGGGUCAUUGGAAACUGGAAAACUUGAGUGCAGAAGAGGAAAGUGGAAUUCCAUGUGUAGCGGUGAAAUGCGCAGAGAUAUGGAGGAACACCAGUGGCGAAGGCGACUUUCUGGUCUGUAACUGACGCUGAUGUGCGAAAGCGUGGGGAUCAAACAGGAUUAGAUACCCUGGUAGUCCACGCCGUAAACGAUGAGUGCUAAGUGUUAGGGGGUUUCCGCCCCUUAGUGCUGCAGCUAACGCAUUAAGCACUCCGCCUGGGGAGUACGACCGCAAGGUUGAAACUCAAAGGAAUUGACGGGGACCCGCACAAGCGGUGGAGCAUGUGGUUUAAUUCGAAGCAACGCGAAGAACCUUACCAAAUCUUGACAUCCUUUGACAACUCUAGAGAUAGAGCCUUCCCCUUCGGGGGACAAAGUGACAGGUGGUGCAUGGUUGUCGUCAGCUCGUGUCGUGAGAUGUUGGGUUAAGUCCCGCAACGAGCGCAACCCUUAAGCUUAGUUGCCAUCAUUAAGUUGGGCACUCUAAGUUGACUGCCGGUGACAAACCGGAGGAAGGUGGGGAUGACGUCAAAUCAUCAUGCCCCUUAUGAUUUGGGCUACACACGUGCUACAAUGGACAAUACAAAGGGCAGCGAAACCGCGAGGUCAAGCAAAUCCCAUAAAGUUGUUCUCAGUUCGGAUUGUAGUCUGC
rnacentral:rRNA from 1 species